rnacentral:tRNA from 1 species
GGAGGGGUGUCUGAGCGGACGAAAGAGGCGGUCUUGAAAACCGUUGAGGGCCUUGGGUCCCUCCGGGGGUUCGAAUCCCUCCCCCUCCGCCA